ensembl:snoRNA small nucleolar RNA, C/D box 68
UGAUGACAAAUCUCCGGAAUCUCUGUAAUGAUUUGAUGAAUACUUUGAACCUAUUUUCUGAUGACUGCGUUUGAUGAAAAUAAUGUCCCUUUCAUGAUUCAUUCAUC